GAAGAGCGAGGCAGAAUCCAAUUCCUUGUUGAUUUUCCCCAAUUCGAGGAGGACUGAAAACCCUAGAAUUCAUAAAAUUAGACGAGGAAAAGAAGAUGAUGCGGUUCCUAGGCAACAAUGUUGCUAAGGUAAUCUCGAAAAAUAUUGUCUUUGUGUUGUUUGUCUCAAAAAUCUUGUCGCCGUUGUUGGUCAUUGAAAUUGAAGGAACCAAUUUGCAGAUUUGUCGGCUGCAGAAUCGUAAUAUUUCAUCUGCCACUGUGACUGCCACCAUCGACGAUGCCCCUAAGUAUUUGUGUAGAGCUGUGGUGGUUGGGUAUCAGCAGUUCAGCACCCGCCUCAAAGUUUCUUCAGGAAACUGAAGAGGCGCAACUCCGAAUCAAGCGAUUGUUGGAUAAACACGAAGCCGGAUUUGAGGCACCCAUGAAAUGAUAUUUUAUGUAGGAGUCUAAAAAACAAAUAUGAUUGGAUUUUGCUACUUUACGAUAAUUAUUAGUAAAUGCAAAUAUUCAAUCACGUUGAUAUUCAAA